CCGGGCGGGAGGGGAGCGGC
rnacentral:miRNA from 1 species